AGUGAACGCUGGCGGUAGGCCUAACACAUGCAAGUCGAACGGCAGCACAGUAAGAGCUUGCUCUUACGGGUGGCGAGUGGCGGGUGGGUGAGGAAUACAUCGGAAUCUACUUUUUCGUGGGGGAUAACGUAGGGAAACUUACGCUAAUACCGCAUACGACCUACGGGUGAAAGCAGGGGAUCUUCGGACCUUGCGCGAUUGAAUGAGCCGAUGUCGGAUUAGCUAGUUGGCGGGGUAAAGGCCCACCAAGGCGACGAUCCGUAGCUGGUCUGAGAGGAUGAUCAGCCACACUGGAACUGAGACACGGUCCAGACUCCUACGGGAGGCAGCAGUGGGGAAUAUUGGACAAUGGGCGCAAGCCUGAUCCAGCCAUACCGCGUGGGUGAAGAAGGCCUUCGGGUUGUAAAGCCCUUUUGUUGGGAAAGAAAAGCAGCAGGUUAAUACCCCGCUGUUCUGACGGUACCCAAAGAAUAAGCACCGGCUAACUUCGUG
rnacentral:rRNA from 1 species